GAGGCGCGCGCGGGGUCCGGCAGGCGUCCCGGGGUGGUCCCGGCGUGGGGUCGGGGGCGUCCUCGCGGUCGGGGCGAGGUCGGGGAGGGCAGCCGCCCGCCCUCCUCGGCACUGGGAGCUUUCGGCUGGUUCUGCGGGAGGAGCACCCGGGUGACCCGCGGGUUCUGAAACCGCCUCUGGGGAGCUCGGAGCCUGCGCGGCGUCUACGGGGCGAGCGAGGGAGAACUGACGCCUUUCGCCCGGAUCCUUCUCCCCUUCCGAGAACCAGAUUGAGGUGGAACUCACGUCACAUAAACCGGGUCGCAAGGCUCAGCUUAGUGGGGCCCCCCCACAGUGUUGCGGGACCAGCACCUUCCCGGGCUCCGGAACAGCUUCUACCCGAGAAGAGACCGGCCCGUCGGCGGCCGAUCUCCGCGCCCCUCCCCGGGCUCUGCAGCCCCCGCCCUGCUCCGCGGACCAGCCUGUUCUGACCUCCGUUCAAUGGAGCCCUACGUGCUGUGGCUUUUGUGUUCCAGCGUCUUUCGCUUAGAAUCGCGUCUUCAAGGUUCGUCCCCUGUGGAGCGGGGAUCAGGCCCGCGUUCCUUUUCAGGAGUGAAUAAUAUUCCGUGGAUGGAGCCCACACGUUUCUCUCUUCCUCUGUUGAUGGACAGUGGGUUGUUUCCACUUUUUGCCUUUUGCGUCCAGUGACACGAUGAACAUUUUCGUACAAGUAUUUGGGUGCCUGUUUCCAUUUAUCUUUCGUGUAUACCUAGGCAUGAAUAGCUGGGCCUUAGGGUGUGAACUGUUUGUGAAACCGGAGAACGGUUUUCCGCAGCGGCGGCUCGAUUUCACCACCAGCAGUACAGAAGGGUGCUCGUUCCCCGACAUCCUUGCCAACACCCAUGUUCCCGUUUGUUUCAGUUAUUUUAUUGUGACAAAACACAACAAAAUGUAUCAUCUUAACCAUUUUAAGUGUGCAGUUCAGUGGUAUCAAGUACAUUCACACUAUGGUGCAGCCGUCACCCCCAUCCAGCUCCUUAACUCUGUUCACCUUGUACAACAGAAACUCGAUGCCCGUUACAUAGUAACUCCCCAUAGCCCCUCCUCCUCGCCCCAGGGAACUAGCAUUCUAUAUUCUGUCUGUGAUUUUGACUACGCUAAGUAUCUCUUAGAAGUGGAAUCACACGGCAUUUUUCUUUUUGUGAACGGUUUAUUUCAUUUGGCAUAAUGUCCUCAAGAUUCAUUCAUAUCCUUCCAUAUGUUAGAAUUUCCUUCCUUUUAAAGGCAGAAUAAUACUCCAUUGUAUGGAUAUGUCACAUUUGGUUUACUCAUUCAUCUGUUUCUGUAAACUAGGUUGCUUCCACCUUUUGGCAAUUGUGAAUAAUGCUGUUAUGAACAUGAAAUAUAAAUAUCUCCUUGA